CCUACGGGUGGCAGCAGUGAGGAAUAUUGGUCAAUGGCCGAGAGGCUGAACCAGCCAAGUCGCGUGAGGGAUGACGGUCCUACGGGUUGUAAACUGCUUUUAUACGGGAAUAACGCGCCUUACGUGUAGGGCUUUGCAUGUACCGUAUGAAUAAGGACCGGCUAAUUCCGUGCCAGCAGCCGCGGUAAUACGGAAGGUCCGGGCGUUAUCCGGAUUUAUUGGGUUUAAAGGGAGCGUAGGCCGCAUGUCAAGCGUGCUGUGAAAUGUCCGGGCUCAACCCUGGAAUUGCAGCGGAAACUGGCGUGCUUGAGUCCGCGGAAGGCAGGCGGAAUUCGUGGUGUAGCGGUGAAAUGCUUAGAUAUGACGAAGAACCCCGAUUGCGAAGGCAGCUUGCUGCAGCGGAACUGACGCUGAUGCUCGAAAGCGCGGGUAUCGAACAGGAUUAGAUACCCUGGUAGUC
rnacentral:rRNA from 1 species